rnacentral:rRNA from 1 species
AGAGUUUGAUCCUGGCUCAGAUUGAACGCUGGCGGCAUGCCUUACACAUGCAAGUCGAACGGUAACGGGCCUUCGGGUGCCGACGAGUGGCGAACGGGUGAGUAAUGCAUCGGAACGUACCUUUCAGUGGGGGAUAACGUAGCGAAAGUUACGCUAAUACCGCAUAUUCUGUGCGCAGGAAAGCGGGGGAUCGCAAGACCUUGCGCUGAUUGAGCGGCCGAUGUCAGAUUAGCUAGUUGGUGAGGUAAAGGCUCACCAAGGCGACGAUCUGUAGCGGGUCUGAGAGGAUGAUCCGCCACACUGGAACUGAGACACGGUCCAGACUCCUACGGGAGGCAGCAGUGGGGAAUUUUGGACAAUGGGGGCAACCCUGAUCCAGCCAUGCCGCGUGAGUGAAGAAGGCCUUCGGGUUGUAAAGCUCUUUCGGCCGGGAAGAAAUCGCAUGGGCUAAUACCCUGUGCGGAUGACGGUACCGGCAUAAGAAGCACCGGCUAACUACGUG